CUCGACUCUCCCACCCAAUGUGUACCUACCUCUGUUGCUUUGGCGGGCCGCGGUCCUCCGCACCGGCGCCCUUCGGGGGGCUGGCCAGCGCCCGCCAGAGGACCAUAAAACUCCAGUCAGUGAACUUCGCAGUCUGAAAAACAAGUUAAUAAACUAAAACUUUCAACAACGGAUCUCUUGGUUCUGGCAUCGAUGAAGAACGCAGCGAAAUGCGAUAAGUAAUGUGAAUUGCAGAAUUCAGUGAAUCAUCGAAUCUUUGAACGCACAUUGCGCCCCUUGGUAUUCCGAGGGGCAUGCCUGUUCGAGCGUCAUUUCAACCCUCAAGCUCUGCUUGGUAUUGGGCUUCGUCCUCCACGGACGCGCCUUAAAGACCUCGGCGGUGGCGUCUUGCCUCAAGCGUAGUAGAAAACACCUCGCUUUGGAGCGCACGGCGUCGCCCGCCGGAC
rnacentral:rRNA from 1 species